GGGGCCGUAGCGCAGAGGCCGUCGCGCGCUCUCCACCACUGCGAGGACGCCGGUUCGAAUCCGGCCGGCUCCG
rnacentral:tRNA from 1 species